GAUGAACGCUGGCGGCGUGCCUAAUACAUGCAAGUCGAGCGAACGGACGAGAAGCUUGCUUCUCUGAUGUUAGCGGCGGACGGGUGAGUAACACGUGGAUAACCUACCUAUAAGACUGGGAUAACUUCGGGAAACCGUAGCUAAUACCGGAUAAUAUUUUGAACCGCAUGGUUCAAAAGUGAAAGACGGUCUUGCUGUCACUUAUAGAUGGAUCCGCGCUGCAUUAGCUAGUUGGUAAGGUAACGGCUUACCAAGGCAACGAUGCAUAGCCGACCUGAGAGGGUGAUCGGCCACACUGGAACUGAGACACGGUCCAGACUCCUACGGGAGGCAGCAGUAGGGAAUCUUCCGCAAUGGGCGAAAGCCUGACGGAGCAACGCCGCGUGAGUGAUGAAGGUCUUCGGAUCGUAAAACUCUGUUAUUAGGGAAGAACAUAUGUGUAAGUAACUGUGCACAUCUUGACGGUACCGAAUCAGAAAGCCACGGCUAACUACGU
rnacentral:rRNA from 1 species